rnacentral:antisense_RNA from 20 species
CUUCAGCGAGCCCAGCCACACCGGGUCCUGUUCGUCACGUCCCUGGCCAUAGGUGGCCAGCAGGGCACGGGCUUC